GCUGGGCAUGGUGGCGCAUGCCUGUAAUCCCAGCUAUUCGGGAGGCUGAGGCAGGAGAAUCACUUAAACCUGGGAGGUGGAGGUUGCAGUGAGCCGAGAUUGUGCCACUGCACUCCAGCCUGGUGACAAAGCGAGACUUCAUCUCAAAAGAAGAAAAAAAAGUUUUUCUUUUUUUUUUUUUUUAGUGCAGUGGUGCGAUCUCGGCUCACUGCAGCCUCCAACUCCUGGGUUCAAGCGAUUCUCAUGCCUUAG
rnacentral:SRP_RNA from 1 species